AGCGCAACCCUCGUCUUAUGUUGCCAGCACGUAAUGGUGGGGACUCAUAAGAGACUGCCGGGGUCAACUCGGAGGAAGGUGGGGAUGACGUCAAGUCAUCAUGCCCCUUAUGUCCAGGGCUUCACGCAUGCUACAAUGGCCGGUACAAAGGGCUGCGAUACCGCGAGGUGGAGCGAAUCCCAAAAACCCGGUCUCAGUUCGGAUUGGGGUCUGCAACUCGACCCCAUGAAGUCGGAGUCGCUAGUAUUCGCAGAUCAGCAACGCUGCGGUGAAUACGUUCCCGGGCCUUGUACACACCGCCCGUCACGUCACGAAAGUUGGUAACUCCCGAAGCCGGUGGCCUAACCCUUGUGGAGGAGCCGUCGAA
rnacentral:rRNA from 1 species